rnacentral:lncRNA from 1 species
UGGGUCAAGGUCUCCAAAAGUAGAAUUUUAGAUCUAGUGAGGAUUUUUAAGAUUUCUUGUAAUUUACUUGUUGGAUUGAAGUGAAAUUUGUGUGAAAGGAUAUAAGACUUGUUUUUCUAUGUGUAUGAGAAUUUUGAGAUCUAUUGAAUGGUGAAAAAGAGAGAUAUUGGCUCUAGGAGAUUUGCAUCAAGGUCAGAGAAGGAGGCCGACCAAUAUCCAAGCACAUUUUUGAGACUAUUAUCUAUUUGGUAAUUUCGAUCCUUUUUAAAAAAUUUGUAGUUGUUAUCAAUUUAAUUACUAAAAAGCAUGCAAAUUUUGAGUUAAGAUCAAUGGUUCAUUCAUUAGUAAUUGAAGAAUAAAUCUAUUAUAGAAAUUAUUAGGGUUUGAUUUAAGAUUAGGAUUUGGUUAGGAUUUGAUUUAGGAUUAGGAUUUGGUUUAGGAUUUAGGAUUUAGUUAGGAUUUAAUUUAAGAUUAAGAUUUGAUUAGGAUUUGUUUUAAGAUUUAGGGUUUGAUUAAGGAUUGGUUAGGAUUUGAUUUAGGAUUUAGGAUUUGAUUCGAAUUUGAUUUAGGGUUUAAGAUUUUAUUUGAAUUUGUUUAGGGUUUAAGAUUUUGUUAGUUUUUAGCUUAAAGUUUGAAUGAAGUCCAAUAGGAUUUUAACAAGGAUUAAAUUAAGAUUGAAUUGAGAUAUAUUUGAUAUAUAUUUGUGAUAAUUCUAAUAUUUUUUUAAGAUUUCUUAUUAUUUCUUUGUAAUUUCUUUGAGGUUUCUUUGAAUUUGAUUAAAGCUUAUUUAGCACUGUUAGACCUAAUUAGAGUUUAAUUAAUAUUCUAUUAGAUUUAAGAUUUUGUUUUUGCAAUUUCUAUUCUACCUUCUACAGUCAGGUGCCCAGAGCAUUUUCAAGCAAGACUUCACAUAUUACGACAACAUAAAGGUUUU